AGGGACGUAGCUCAAAGGUAGAGCACCUGCCUGAUAAGCGGGAGACAGCAGUUCGAGCCUGCUCGUCCCUA
rfam:Archangium gephyra strain DSM 2261, complete genome.